rnacentral:rRNA from 1 species
AACACGUGGAUAACCUACCUAUAAGACUGGGAUAACUUCGGGAAACCGGAGCUAAUACCGGAUAAUAUAUUGAACCGCAUGGUUCAAUAGUGAAAGACGGUUUUGCUGUCACUUAUAGAUGGAUCCGCGCCGCAUUAGCUAGUUGGUAAGGUAACGGCUUACCAAGGCAACGAUGCGUAGCCGACCUGAGAGGGUGAUCGGCCACACUGGAACUGAGACACGGUCCAG